rnacentral:lncRNA from 7 species
AUCUCUUUCCAGAGAUUGCUCCUCUUUGAGUUUCUCCUGCAGUCCUACAACACGGUUCACAUCAGGCUGGGUAGAUUUCUGCGCAGUUCCCAGCUGAGUCACCAGAGAGGGGCCCGCCUUCAUCAUGGAUCAAUUUGAUUUCAAGCCCUGACAAAUACCCAGCUUCAAGAUGGGGGACAAUCUGUAAUGUGCUUUAUGAGAACACAAGGAAAUGAUGAAAAGUUCAAGAGUGACAGCUUGAAGUUCUGUAUGCAUACAAAAAGGACAACGUGAAUAAUGUCAGCAUGCACUUCCCCUUCCCUUCAGGAGCUCCAGAAUAUUUUAGAUGUGUAAAAAGAAUGUACUACUGUGACCUGACAUUACAAGUAUUUGAGGGGCAAAACCACAGCACUUCUAUAUUGACAGAUCACAUACUCUUAAUGCUGAGAUAUAUUUAUCUAUCUAGUACUCUAAGAUGCUGAAGGGGUAGGAUGUGCUUGAGAUAAAAAUAUGUCGGUACUGUUGAAUCAUACCAAAAACUUAACUUAAAAGACCUUCCUCUGACAAAAGCAACAACAACAAAACUGAAACAUAAAAUAUGCUAGACCUUCUUAUUUAAAUAGUAUUUGAAUUGAGCCAUUCUGACUACAAAGGCUUGAAGCCUGGAUACAGCCCUGAACUAAUUUCCUGCCUUUUGCUUUUGUUUGUCAGUUAACGUCAUACAGAUCAUGUCAUAUAAAUGAAGCUGAACACUGUUUAGGUCUUAGUGUUAGCAAACAAGAAAUCAUGAUUUGAUUCUUGCAUUCUGUGCCUCUGUCCUUGAGCCAACUCUGUGUGCUUUGUGCUUGCUACAGCACUGAACGUAUAACUGAUUGUUGGUAAUACUGAAAAUGACAUGCAUAUUGAAAUGCUUGCAAGACUGAAGUUUUUAACAUAAAAUAAAUCAGUACUUUGCUUUUGG